rnacentral:snoRNA from 1 species
CCCGCAUGAUGAUAUAUUGGCAAGUUUGAUGAUCUAGUCAGACCAAUAGAUUUCGGCCUCUUGCCUGUGGUUAGAUGGGUAGUCUUGGUGGUGUGGUUGAGUUUUAUUGCACUGCUGUAAGGGCCCAUCCACAGUGAACUUGUCACCUUACAACCUCUGCACCCCCCUAGAGCAAUGGGACGGGACAAGUGGAAGAUGUCAAACAGUGUGUGUGUGUGUGUGUUGUAUGGAUGUAUAUGUAUCAGCUGGCAAGAGGCUAUAGUCUCAAUAUAAUUGGUUUGGCAAAUAUGAACUACUUUCUUUGGUAACCUGAGGGC